rnacentral:rRNA from 1 species
GAUGAACGCUGGCGGCGUGCCUAAUACAUGCAAGUCGAGCGAACGGACGAGAAGCUUGCUUCUCUGAUGUUAGCGGCGGACGGGUGAGUAACACGUGGAUAACCUACCUAUAAGACUGGGAUAACCUCGGGAAACCGUAGCUAAUACCGGAUAAUAUUUUGAACCGCAUGGUUCAAAAGUGAAAGACGGUCUUGCUGUCACUUAUAGAUGGAUCCGCGCUGCAUUAGCUAGUUGGUAAGGUAACGGCUUACCAAGGCAACGAUGCAUAGCCGACCUGAGAGGGUGAUCGGCCACACUGGAACUGAGACACGGUCCAGACUCCUACGGGAGGCAGCAGUAGGGAAUCUUCCGCAAUGGGCGAAAGCCUGUCGGAGCAACGCCGCGUGAGUGAUGAAGGUCUUCGGAUCGUAAAACUCUGUUAUUAGGGAAGAACAUAUGUGUAAGUAACUGUGCACAUCUUGACGGUACCUAAUCAGAAAGCCACGGCUAACUACGUG